UUUCUUAAUGCCCUUCACUAGAACCAGAAAGGAAAAGCCACUGUUCUACAGAGAAAAAGAUGCCAGAGUUCACUCUCGGUAAUUCCUUUCAUUAUGGCAGCCAAAAACAAACCAUCUCUGACCUUGACUCUGAAACUAUUGAGAUGCUACUAACAAAGAUGACUUCGGAUCGGCUCUGGCAGUUUGCACACGAAGAGAAGAUCCAGGACGAUCUGAUUGGGUGGAAGAAGAUGUUGGUGAAGAUUAACGAGGUGCUAGAUGAUGCCAUGGAGAAGCAGACGAAGGAGGAGUCAGUGAAUAUGUGGCUAGGCCAGCUUCAGAACUUGGCUUGCGAUGUUGAUUACUUGUUUGAUGAAUUACAAACGGAAGCUUUCCAAAGGAAGUUGCUGCUAGGCGAUGAUGCCAUGGAUAAGUUUGAUUCCAUGGCGAUGUCUAAAGUAAAGGAUGUCAAUGCUAGCUUUCAAGAUAUUGCAUCGCAGAUAGACCUACUAGGAUUGAAAGAAAGUUCAGUUGGGAAGUCAUGAAAUUUCAGGCAAAGAGUACGUGCAACCCUUCGGUGAGUCAACCCAAUGUGUAAGUACUGUGAUAUUCAAACAAAAAGUUUUGAUAGUCAUCGAAAAUAGUAAUUUACUCCUGCCACAAGUUUGGUAAGUUGAAAAUGUUCAUAGCUCAAAUUAUACCACCUAAUGAGUUAUAAUGCUCACUUGUAGUCACCUCGGUAUUUGGUUUGAAAAAAAAAUGAUAUGGUAGUUUCAAUUGUUGAAUUCUUGUCAUUGCAAAUAACAAUGGCACCAAUGCCUGCUGCCAGAAAAUUUCAAAAUUUCACUAGUUGUUUUUACCUAGUUUCAUUUUUGGUCGAAAUGAAACUUCUAUUAAUAAUUAUUAUACAGUAUGGUUAUAAAUAAUCAUGUAUUUAUAACAAAUUUAACAAAACUAUUAAAAAUAUUGUUACAUUUUCGAUGCUAACUUCCUAUCAUUGAAAAUGGUAUUGGCGCAAUUAAUUUCUUGCCAAAAAUAAAUAUUAACAAUUAAUUAUUAAGUUAUUUUUUUUAACAGUUAUUCCCUAUUGAAAACACGGGACAUUACUUUAUUCUUUUAGCGACAAACUAAUUGUUACAAUAAAAAAUAAUCAUAUUUUCAACUAAAUUUUUCCUGCGAUUAGCAAUGUUGGUCCGAAAAGUCUAUUUUUCUUGUAGUUAUGCAACGGCUUUGAUUGCCUAACUGGACACCGGUGUCAUUUGAUUUUGAGAAUUAUUACUGUAUGUGAUAGGACCAGUGCUGUCCACCAGAAGCUUAUCAUGUUCAGUGGCUUACUGUCUUGCUUCUUUGGGGAAAAUAGCAUGAGGUGGGUGUGAGAAGUUUGCAAAGCCGAGCUACCAUGAAGCAAUGGAAAGAUGAUUGCUAUUAAGAAGAUUGUUCUGCCUCCGAUGGAUACCGCAGAUUUGAUUGAAGAAGAUGGUAAGUUACUGAACAUGAUAAUGAUGCAAAUUCGGUCUGGGAUUAAAACUACGGGUCAAAUUAGGCACAGGAAUCUUCAUGCUUUGCAGGCUCAUAUAACCAGGCCUGACUGCCAUUUACUCAGUGGACAGAAUGCCAUUUACUCAGUCCAAAGUGGCAAUAUACUGCCAAGUCUAGGUUGUUGGGACGUUACCAUGCUCCCUGAUUGAGUUGUACAAUUAUCAUGAUCCCCUUCUUGAGUUUACUUUUUAAGUUGUAUAAUUAUGAGGUUCACGACAUUGUUAACAAACUAAAAACUAUUUCUGAAAUGUGGUAUAUUUUUUAUUUCAUGUGGUAUAUUUUUUAUUUCAACUGACAAUAGUCAUGUCAGUUUUAUGGCAGCACAUCCCUACAACUCAACAAAGGAUGGUCAAUUGCAAAACCUAAGCCUGUUAUUUAUUUAUUUAUUUUUCAUUAAAAAAAAAGUAUAGCAAGGACAACUGAAUUCAAUAAGCAAUAGGCAAGUGUUUUCUAGUUAUUCCCCAGAAAAGGUUCCUUCAAAAGCAACAAGCCGUGGACAGAUGCUUAUUGUUUUGAAGAUUGAUCACUUUUGCACUUUGAAUGACCCAGAGGAUAGACCUAACAGCAAGGAUGUUUGGUGCGUGUUGUCUCAGAUCCACCACCAACUACCGUACAUGUGGAUGUUUUCAAAUGUGCAAGAAUACGUUAUUUGUGACGAACAUUGAUUGCUUUCUAGUUAAGUUGUAUAAUUAUUAUGACCCUUCUGAGUUUAUACUUUAAAUGAUUUAUAAUGUGGUUCAUGACAUUGUAGUUGAACAAACUAAAAAUAUUUCUGAAAUGUGGUAUAUUUCCUAUUUCAAUCAUUUGGUUGCAUUUUUUCCCCCCAUUUUGUUUUUUCAGACAAAAGGCCCCAUUCAUUGAAUAAGAAAAGCAAAUGUGAGCACAAGUAUGAAAUCAAAUGUUCGCAAGUGUUUUUUUUUUUCCUCUCUCUCUCCCUUAGAAGUAAGAGGCACUCUGUUCGGAUGAAAUAUGUUAUUACACAGCCUAAAAAAUGAGGCUCAAGAAAAUCGAAGUUUUUUAAAUAUUUAAAAGAAAAAUUGCUCUCAUAUUCGCAUACUAGGAAGUUGAGCCCCUUCCUCUAAUAAGGGAAUUGGGAUACCACCCACCUCAGGUUUCCCAAAAUGUUUGAAAGUCCAUGAUAGCAUUAAAAAUGCAGUAGGAUGCUUAUUAUCAGGAUCAUAUACAACAUAAGACAAAAAUAUACCGUUUCUGCUAGUUUUUUUUUUUUUUUUUCCUACAUUGCUGCAUUCAUAUUUCUCAAUUUUCUAGCUCUAGGUUUGCAUUUUUGUAGCGCCUUGCAUCUCAUGAGGGUAAUGCUCAUUAUAUCUCCUGACUGGGUGUCAUAUUUUUUUUUUAAUUAAUAAAUUUCUCUCAUACCGUUGAGGUUUUGCCCACAAAACCAAAAAGGAAAAAAAAAAAAAUGAGAGAAACAGAAAAAGAGAACCACAUAACAUUGUGGAGACAGAGCAAGCUGUUUGUACUAAAGUGAAUAGAAGAAGAACGACUGCAGUAACAGAGAUAGAUGCCCACUGACUAUUGAAAUAAUCUUGUUUCAAUAUUGCCUUCCAUCUGCGUCAAGGGUAUCUGUUCUUCAGAUCUUCAACAAGAUCUGUAUAUUGAAAAUUUUAGCAGACGACGAAGUUUCUUUGGACAUGGGUUGUGAAAAAGAGUCGACACAGCUUCGUUGUCCCAUUGCCAAUUUUCAAUAACUCGGUUUUCAACAAAGUAAUCCAACAUCCCGUGCCGUGUUGACGAGGUAAGUCAUGACUAUAACAGGUUGACGCGUGUACCUGCUGCCACCACAAUACAAUCUCUCAAAAGUUUGAGAAUUUCUGAACAAAAUUUCUGAGGAUUGGCUGAUUCUCAUUAGUGGAAUUUCCAGGAUGCCAUUUAUUGAAACUGAAAGUAAUUUCAAAUAGCUUUUUGCUUGAGACCAAUGUGAAACUUGACUCCAGCUUGGCAGAAAUUGCUUAAAGCAAAUCAAUUCAAAUUCAUUAAAUUGAAGUUCCACCAGCGAUCGGCUCAACUUAAUAUUUGUUUUAUUGAAAAAAAUAAAAGACAAAUGACAAAACCGUGUUCGUCCCACAUGAUGAGUUAUUCCUCUCUUUCCCUUUUGGACUUUCGUGUGCGUGGUUGUGUAACACACCCACACCUAAGUCAGACAAAUCUUCGUCUCCUUGUUACAUUGGAACCCUUGCUUGCUUACACAAUUACUUGUUAAUGCGUCACUAUAAACGAGAGUCCUAAUUUUAUUCCUAAAUUAUAAUUAUUAAUUGUUAAUUUAUAUUUAUUAUUAUUUAAUAAUAUAUUUUCCAUAAACAAACUAUUAAAUUCAUACAAAAUCUCCUUUCAACAUUAUAAUUAACAAAUUUAGUCCAUUUAUUUUCUAAAAAAUAUCUAUUUAAUGUUGUAAAUUAUAACGUUAUAUAUUUCAUUCAAAACUCAAUAAAAACCACAUAUUUGUUAAAUUAUUAUCCGUUAAUAUCUUUUUCCAAUAGAAAAUAAAAAACACUAUACUUUCAAUGUUUUGGUGAAAAAAUUACUUUCUCUACUCUGCUUUUCGCUUAAGAAAAAAAAUCAAUUGUUUUACUUUUCAUUGAUCAUUGCUACUAGAAACCCCAAUCAUCAAAGUAAAAGUUUCCAAUUUUUUUCUAGGUUUUAUCUUUUCAUUCUUUUUUCAAUUAGUUGUGUUAUUUAUUUAUUUUUAAAUAUUAUUGUGUUCUUAUUUUUUUAAAUUUAAUUAUCAAGCAUAUCAUCUAUUGAGAAAGAUAUGUUAACGCUGAAAUCUGGUCAAGUUAGUUAGUGGCUUGAUCUCGAACCCCUAUAUCAGUAUUAAAUUUGUUUGGUAGAGAAGCAGCUUGCCUAUGUCUAAGGACACCCAACGACCACUAGUAGAUAAUCCGCAAGCAGAUGAUCCUUAAGCACCUAAAACCACAAAAAAGAGUUAGAGACGCUGGAAUUUUUUCUGACGUUAACCCUCCAACACUCAAAUCAAUUUAUAAAUUUACAAAAAAAAAUAAAUAAAUAGUUUCUAUUUCAAACAACAAAAGCAGAGUGUGUAGGGGAUCAAAGGGUGAGAAAAGAAAACCAAGUGCCAAUUAAUCGGCUUAAUCUACGUGCCUUUAAGAGAAGCCAUUUAUUGACUUGGAAAAAGAUUAGGGGAGGAGAGCCAAGGGUCACUCAAUUGCCCAAAUUUCCUUCUUCUUCUCCUUUUUCUUCUCAUGCCUGGCCCCUCCACUUUCGUUAUUUUUCUCCUUUUUAUACUAGGAAAAUUAGAAUAUAAAAAUUUGAUUACGUUGUAAACACAAUGGUGAACUUUCACCAUUUAUCCGACAUUGGCAAAUUACUCCCCCCCCCAAAGCUUCCCAACUACAUGUAUAUAUAAUGUAUUCCUUUGUUCUCGUAACAACAAAGAUUGGCUUAAAAUUAAGCUUAAUAACAAGGUACUAAGGGUACUUUGUUUAAUUCAAAAAUUUUUGUUAUUUAUUUAUUUUAUAACACAUUAAUAAUUUGGCAUCUCAGAAAACUAAAAAUUUUAAUUGUAAAUAAAUAAAUCUUAAAUAAAAGCAAAUCAUAUAUUUUACCUCAAAUAUUUUGGAAAGCCUAAUUAAUACAAGAGUACUGAUAUUCAACCACCACAUAUUAUCUCACAAGACCCUUUUUUUUUUUUCCCUUCACCAUCUGCUUCUAAAUUCCCUUAUGUUCUAUCAAAAUUAUCUUUUUCUUUUUAAAGAAUUGUAUCAACAAACUUAGAUGCAAGUCUAUCAUUCAUUAUUUAAUUUUUUGAAAAAAAUUAAUCGUCUGUUAUGUAAGUGUUUAUUAGAGGCUCUUUUAGAACAAAUAAAUUUCUAAAGUUCAAUAUUUUAGAUUGAAAAAGAAAAAAAUUUUAAAAAAAUCAAAGUGAGAUUAUGUUGCACUGCUCAUCAAAUCGCUGUAGCAUGAAUGGAAUACUUUGUUUCCAAAAAUAAAAACAUUUGACCCUUAUGACAUGCAAGUAAAAAUGCAUAAGAGAAGAGAUGCUGGGUUACUGAGUUCGAUUGAAAAGUAAAUACAGCACAAUUUCUGUCCAUUAUGGUAAUUUCAAUAUUAGAGGAGUCUCAUUCUCAUGAGAUGAAAUGCUGGACCGAAUAACUACACUCCUAAACAAUUCGCCCAAGGCCCAAAAUAUAGAAUGCCCUCCAAUUUCCAUUUGAAUCAGAAGGAAGAAGGCACCAGACCGAUCGACAGAGAAAAAAAUGCCAAAGUUCACUCUCAGUAAUUCCUUUCGUUUCGGCAGCCGAAGAGAAGCUAUCACUAACUUUGACUCUGAAUCCAUUGAGACGAUCCUAAAAAAGUUGAAUAAAGAUUGGCUUGGGCAGUUUGCACGGGAAGAGCAGAUGCAGGCCGAUCUGAUUGGGUGGAAGAAGAUGUUGUUGAAGAUUAAUGAGGUGCUAGAUGAUGCCCUGGAGAAGCAGACGAAGGAGGAAUCAGUGAAGAAGUGGCUAGGCAAUCUUCGAAACUUGGCUUGCGAUGUUGAUUACUUGUUGGAUGAGUUUCAAACGGAGGCUUUCCAGAAGAUGUUGCUGCUAGAUGAUGAUGUGAUGUCUACAGUUAAGGAGGUCAAUGCUAGAUUGCAAGAUAUUGCAUCGCAGAUAAAACAACUAGAUUUGAGAAAAAAAUCAGGUAGAAAGUCCAGAAAUGUCCGCGGAGUAAUCUCGUCGGCAGUAAGACGAGGAAGAGGAGGUAGAGAUCCUGGCCCUACAAUCUAUAGUCAUCCAGGCUUAGCUUUCUUGCGAAUGAAAAUUUUUAGCAAGUCAGAGAUGAUAAGAGCCACCAAAAAUUUUGAUAGGAGUCGCUGUCUUAGUCAAGGUGGCUUUGUCUCUGUUUACAAAGGUGUCUUACACGAUAAUAUCCAGGUUGCGGUGAAGACGUAUAGACGGGCAGAUAAGAUCCGCAUAACAGAACGGGAGCUUCUGCGCAUUAUUUCACAAGUAAACCAUAAGAAUGUGGUCAAGAUAUUAGGGCUAUGUCUAGAAACCGAAGUGCCUCUCCUGGUUUAUGAAUUUGCUUCCAAUGGAACUCUGUUGGACCAUAUCCGCUGCGAGAGUUCACAGGUUUUAAAAACUUGGAAAACUUGUCUGAGGAUCGCGGCUGAAACUGCUUCAGCUCUUGACUAUUUGCAUUCUUUAGCAAGCCCUCCCAUCAUUCACGGAGACGUAAAGUCCGCCAACAUACUCUUGAAUGACAAUUAUACGGCAAAAGUGGCUGAUUUUGAGUCUUCAGUGUUGAUUUCGUCUGAUGCUGAAACUGCAAUGAGCACGAUUCUAAUAGGGACUUGUGGUUACUUAGAUCCAGUGUGUAUAAACACAGGUAUUUUUUUAAAAAAAUUAAAAAAAAUUGUGUUUUUAUUAAUAGCCUCAUGGCAUGUUCAAUUUUUUUCCCCUAAAUAAACCAGUUUGAACCCCAAAUCUUUUGUACCAGCACCGCCUUAAAACUUUUUGCUAGUUAAUCUAACUAGCACCAAACAAUGACAGGUAAAUUGACGAAGAAGAGUGAUGUGUAUAGCUUUGGAGUUGUCCUUGCGGAAUUGUUAACCGGCAAGAAACCUGGCUCUUGCAUGACAUUGGCAUCCAAUAAGAAGAUUAGCAUGGUUCCUUAUUUUCUAAACUCGAUUAAAAAUAAUGGUUUGCGUCAGAUUCUGAACUUUCAUGUUGCUGAUGAAAGUGAAAUGAAGGAGAUAGAAAUUGUUGCUGAGCUUGCAAGUAAAUGCCUAAGAAUUAGAAGCACCGAAAGGCCAACAAUGGAGCAAGUUUCUGAGGAGCUUGACAGGUUAAGAAGGUUGCAUGAAAAUUUUUGGGCACAGAAGAAAAAUAAAGAGACAGAGCAUUUAUUAGGCGAAUCAUCAUCAUAUGCAACGGCUGUGAUUGCCCAACCAGACGCUCAGACUGUGGUGUCAAUCGAUAUUGAGAACUAUUACGGUACGUGAUCGGAUCUCGGUCAUCGUUAAAAAUAAGUUUGGGUUUGUUCCACAAUUAAUUUGUCUUUAAAGAGUUUUUGCUGACUUGUAUAGACACGAUGUUUCUUAAUGCCCUUCACUAGAAUCGGAAAGAAGAAGCCACAGUUCUACAGAAAAAGGGAUGCCAGAGGUCACUCUCGAUAAUUCUUUUCGUUUCUGCAGCCAAAAGCAAACCAUCUCUGACUUACACUCUGAAACUAUUGAGAAGCUACUAAAAAGGAUGUCUUCGGAUUGGCUCUGGAAAUUUGCACGCCAAGAGCAGAUCCAGGUCGAUCUGAUUGGGUGGAAGAAGAUGUUGGUGAAGAUUAACGAGGUGCUAGAUGAUGCCAUGGAGAAGCAGACGAAGGAGGAGUCAGUGAAUAUGUGGCUAGGCCAGCUUCAGAACUUGGCUUGCGAUGUUGAUUACUUGUUUGAUGAAUUACAAACGGAAGCUUUCCAAAGGAAGUUGCUGCUAGGCGAUGAUGCCAUGGAUAAGUUUGAUUCCAUGGCGAUGUCUAAAGUAAAGGAUGUCAAUGCUAGCUUUCAAGAUAUUGCAUCGCAGAUAGACCUACUAGGAUUGAAAGAAAGUUCAGUCGAGAAGUCAAGAAAUGCCAGGCAAAGAGUACCCACAACCCCUUCGGUGAGUGAAG
rnacentral:lncRNA from 1 species